rnacentral:rRNA from 1 species
AUGGACACCAGCGGCGGGGCCGUCCUCCAGUCGCCGGCGACGGAGGAGGAGACGAUGGCGCGGAAGCGCUCCCGCCGCGUGAGCUUCGCGGACACCACCGCCGUGCACGUGUUCGACCGCGACGAGGACUUUGAGACGCCCCCGGACGAGCGCCCCGCCUCCCCGUCUCCGUCCCCCGGGAGGCCCCUCGCGGGCGACGCGGCGGAGGGCGACGAGACGGAGGGAGAGGACGAGUCACCGUUCGGUUGGCUCGGGGAUGUGGGUGUCAGUUCCGCCUCCCCCGGCAGCGCCGCCGGGUCCAUGUCCUCGUUCGAAGGAGAUGACAACUUCUUUGGGGUCGUGUCAGCAAGUUUUAUUCAAUCGGGGAGACCAUCAGAUUCUGGAAUGUCGGAGGACAAUGGCCAUGAUUUAACUUUAGAUUCCCACACGUUUUCUUUGCAUUUCAACAAUGUUAUUCCUCCAGAUGAUUGUUCACUCCACUCAGCUGGAAGUCUGAGGACAGUCGGUCUGGAAUCUGCAACACCGCUAAAGGCACUGAAGGGAUCAGAGUCUGUAAAAUCGAGUGGUGGCCGCGAUGCGUUGACCGACAUGAGUUUGUGUGCAGAAAACCCUAAACGUUAUGAUUAUACUAACUUGUCACUCACAUUGAACAAUUUACUGCAAGAGGUCCAGGAACCAACGUCUCCUAAAGAUGAAACGGACUUUAUAACUGCCAAGCAUGCUUUGACGCUGCCUGCAUCUGAGAAAGAACACAGGCAAGAAAAAUCAUAUAUUGGCAAUGGUGUGUCUUCUGAUGAGCUGGUCUCCGUUAGUUCUCUUGAGGAGCACAUUACUAGUAGCUCUGAUCCGACUGAAGAAGACAAUGCAAUGGUAGUUGAUAUUCAUGAUAAAUCUCAGAUCAGUUUGCAGGAGAACUGCAGUGAUGACCAUAUAGCCGUUCACCCUGAUGUCAAUAGAACUGUAAAAACUGCUUCGUUGCUCUCUCCACCUCCACCUUAUGGGUCCUUCAUGAGUAAUAUUGACUUGCAACCUCCUGUAUUGGAUCAAUCAUUGUCAAAAGAUGAACCACAUGGAGCAAAUCAAACUGCAAGUGCAGUUCCUACCUUUUCAAUGAGGGAUGCUGAGCAGUUGCACCAGCAAAGUGAAAUCUUGAAUUCGGAAACUGUUUUACAUACUCCGAAAACGCAAGUUCAGCUGUUGCAAAUUACACAAGGUUCUGUAUCUUCCCUACGCUCCAAAAGGCAGCAAAUCUUCAGUCCUGUGGUUCAUUCCACUGGUAAUGUGGUAAGCCAUGAGGCAUCUUCUUUGGGGAGUGAGUUUAUGAAACAUGGUAAGAGAAUUUCAGAUCUCGAUCAUGUACUAAAGUUCAAGCUUCAUGAAUCACCUGUAGCUCAUAAUCGUCGAUUACCAUUAGUUGAGAGAAAUGAGAUUGUUCAGGAACCACAUAACACAUUCAGCAAAGCUGAAGAUCAUGGCUGCACUGUGUCAGCUUUUUCUGUUACACCACAACAGCUAGAGAAAACCGGUCAGGCUUCUGUUCUAGGUGCUCCCCCAAGGCAGGAGCCGAGUGAGGCCACUGAGGUUCAGGAUACUCUGUGCGAUGCCCCUGCUUUGGGUAGCCUAGCAAAUCAUGAAUGCAAUUCUCAUAUGGAUAUGGAUGGCACUGGAAGAAAAAGGAGCUCUGAAGAAAAUGUCUGUGCUGAACAUUCAUUGCCUGAAAAAAGAGCAAAGGGACCUAGAAGCCCAAUAACAUCACGAAAACAACUUCCUUGUGUAUCAUUGUCUUCUCGUAUGGCAGAAGAAAAUCAGAGUGAGGCUCAUGAUAGUGCACAAUCAUUAAGUGAUGAUUGGAACAAGGUAGUAUUCAGCGUAUCUGAUUCCAUUAAGCAGAUGCAUAUACGCCCAGAAUCUAUAAGUAAGCUUAACCUACAACAGCUUGAUAUGUUAGGAGAUAUGCUGGGGAAGAUUCAUGUGGCUAGAACAUAUAAGAGGCUUCCUGCUGCUGUGAGGAUUCAAGAUUCCAGACUAGCUGAGGCAAUGUCUCUCCAUGGCAAGCUUUCAUAUGAAAAGGCAAAACUGCAAAUAAAUCAUGUUAAACUUGAUAAACUGCGAAACAAAGCACAACUAUGUCAAGCUGGAAUUCAAGAAUGCCGCUAUUUGAAAUCCAAGAUUUCACAGCUUCGUCGUCCUACGGUGGGUGCUGCACAGAUGAAGGGAGGUCCUCUUUAUGCAGAAACUUCGAUUAAUACCUGCAACAGACUGGAAGGAAAUGCUAGGAUAACUGAAAAGAAGCUUGCACUCAGCAUGAUUCAACAGAAGGUGGAGAACCUCAAGAUUUCGCUUGAACAUUUUUGCAACAUUAAAGGUGAUAUUAGUGAAGUCCUCAGGGUUGCUGAAGAGCAAUUGAAGAUGAGAAAUCAGUGUCGUAUCAUCAACCAGCAAGCAUCGCUCUGGGAGUUGAAAGACAUUGUUAAAAGGGAAAAUAAGCGUGAUGUCAUUCUCAACUAUCGCAAUUUGCUCUUACAAAGGAUCAUCUUAAACCUUAGUGAUAUGUCAACCAUAUUUGUGAGUAACUCACUGAUGGGAACCAAAAUAGAAAAGGCAUUUCCCAAUUUGAAAGCAACUGUGGCAUUCAGUUUCGUUUUCAAAGCUGAGGAGAAUCAAAGACUUAGUGACUUACGAUCCUUGCAGAAGAAGACAAUGGAAACAAGUUUGCUUCUCGGUAAUCUUAUUGAUGUCCUAGAAGAAAUCGAGGAUGCUAAAGGGGAAUUAUUGGGUCUGAUCUCUGCAGAUUUUAGUGUGGACUCCCAGACAGUCACUACAAAAUCUGUACCAUGUCAAGCAGGGCAACUCAUCUUCAGUCUGCGCUUCAUCGGUUACAAGAGCGCCAAGAGGGUUGCUUUCACCAUUGACAUGACAGACCUGAGCCGCGCGGUGUACCCUUCUGAGCCAUCGGAGCUGCCGAUCAAGGUGUGGCAAGCUCAGACAACACUGUCGCAGCCAAACCUGGACAAGCUGAUGGCCUCCAUAAGGGACGACCUUCAGCCGGGGCGUGUGAUGAUCCUCAGGCUAUGCCGGAUGGUGACCCGCCUGGUUAACACAUUGCCUGUCUGA